ACUCUGUUUUUAGUGGAACUUCUGAGUAAAACAAACAAAUAAAUCAAAACUUUCAACAACGGAUCUCUUGGUUCUGGCAUCGAUGAAGAACGCAGCAAAAUGCGAUAAGUAAUGUGAAUUGCAGAAUUCAGUGAAUCAUCGAAUCUUUGAACGCACAUUGCGCCCGCCAGUAUUCUGGCGGGCAUGCCUGUUCGAGCGUCAUU
rnacentral:rRNA from 1 species